rnacentral:rRNA from 1 species
AGCAGCCGCGGUAAUUCCAGCUCCAAUAGCGUAUAUUAAAGUUGUUGCAGUUAAAAAGCUCGUAGUUGAAUUUCGGGAUCAAUUUAUUGGUCGUGCUAUUGUACGUACUGGUAUUAUUGAUUUCUACCUUCUGACGAACCAUGAUGUCAUUAAUUUGGUGUCUUGGGGAAUCAGGACUGUUACUUUGAAAAAUUAGAGUGUUUAAAGCAGGCUCACGCUUGAAUACAUUAGCAUGGAAUAACGAAAUAGGACGUUUGAUUCUAUUUUGUUGGUUUCUAGGAUCGACGUAAUGAUUAAUAGGGAUAGUUGGGGCAUUAGUAUUCA